ACAACAUUCGGACCGUCGGUCUACCGAGCAAUAGCACCCGCUCGGUGGAAGAUCUUUCUUUCCGUCAU
rnacentral:pre_miRNA from 1 species